rnacentral:rRNA from 1 species
GGGUUGUGAGGUUAAGCGACUAAGCGUACACGGUGGAUGCCCUGGCAGUCAGAGGCGAUGAAGGACGUGCUAAUCUGCGAUAAGCGUCGGUAAGGUGAUAUGAACCGUUAUAACCGGCGAUUUCCGAAUGGGGAAACCCAGUGUGAUUCGUCACACUAUCAUUAACUGAAUCCAUAGGUUAAUGAGGCGAACCGGGGGAACUGAAACAUCUAAGUACCCCGAGGAAAAGAAAUCAACCGAGAUUCCCCCAGUAGCGGCGAGCGAACGGGGAGCAGCCCAGAGUCUGAAUCAGUGUGUGUGUUAGUGGAAGCGUCUGGAAAGGCGUGCGAUACAGGGUGACAGCCCCGUACACAAAAAUGCACAUAUUGUGAGCUCGAUGAGUAGGGCGGGACACGUGGUAUCCUGUCUGAAUAUGGGGGGACCAUCCUCCAAGGCUAAAUACUCCUGACUGACCGAUAGUGAACCAGUACCGUGAGGGAAAGGCGAAAAGAACCCCGGCGAGGGGAGUGAAAAAGAACCUGAAACCGUGUACGUACAAGCAGUGGGAGCACGCUUAGG